CCUGGGUUGACAGUUUAACCCAAAAUCAUCUUUGAGCAUCGAGUGUCAAAGGGAUGAAUUAUACAGUAACUAUAUCCACAUGGGUUCUAGAGUAUUGCUGGGCAUACAUUCGACCUAUCUGGACAUCGAGUUCUAUUACUAGAUGGUUACAUCGAUUAGUAUAAAAAUUAUUCUUAUACUACCAACUUAGGUUUGAACCAAUGGAGUCACACACAUAGAAGUAUCUGUCUGAUCAAAUG
rnacentral:lncRNA from 1 species